AUUGAACGCUAGCGGGAUGCCUUACACAUGCAAGUCGAACGGAGUGGCGAACGGGUGAGUAAUGUAUCGGAACGUGCCCAGUAGCGGGGGAUAACUACGCGAAAGCGUAGCUAAUACCGCAUACUAUUGGACCGGCCGAUACCGAUUUAGCUAGUGGGUGGGGUAACGGCUCACCAAGGCGCCGUUCCGUAGCUGGUUUGAGAGGCCGACCAGCCACACUGGGACUGAGACACGGCCCAGACUCCUACGGGAGGCAGCAGUGGGGAAUGUUGGACAAUGGGGGAAACCCUGAGCGAGCCAUCCCGCGUGUGCGAUGAAGGCCUUCGGGUUGUAAAGCACUUUUGGCAGGAAAGCGGUACCUGCAGAAUAAGCACCGGCUAACUACGUGCCAGCCGCCGCGGUAAUAC
rnacentral:rRNA from 1 species